rnacentral:lncRNA from 1 species
CAGUGCCAGAGUCUAUGAUGGUUCCGCCGGUGGAGAAAGUGGAGGAGGAUAUAGAAAGCUUAGCGCCGCCGACAUAGAUUCCUAACAGGUCAAGAGCAUAGAAGGAGGAGACACCGGAGUUGGUGGAGAGUGGUGUAUACUUGAUGUAGUUGUCAGCGACACGGCCGAAGGUGAGGUAACCGACGUUGCUAGCGGUGGAAGGGAGGCAGUAGGCAAAGAGUUUUUUGUAUUUUGUGGCUGUCUGUUCGACGAAGGAGAUAGGGUUGCGGCCGAGGCCUAAUAGGCCGGCGGAGCCACCGAAGAGGCCUUGGUUGUUUUGGCCGCAACCGAAUAAGAAGUUGUCGACGACUUCCGUGGCGGUCACGGUCAGUCGCUCUCGACUGAAGUAGCCGACGGAGAAGGAUGAGUCGCCGUAUUGAAUUCCGUAUAUGCAUGCAUUUGAAGAAGAAGCACAUCCUGGUUGGUUUCCUGAGUAAUUUUAUGGAAGAUGAAAAGUAAAUUAAUAAUAAAAAAAUGGGGGGAAAAUUGGCACAUGAUCAUUGAUGCUUUGUUUUGCUUUAUCUGAUGAUUAAACUUUUGGUACAUUCGAAAACAAAACAAGCACUACUAUUUUAGGAUGUAUUUCUCCCAGUGUUGAAGAAUUCAAUAAUGAAAUGUGAACUAAAAAGAGAGUUCAAUAAUUUAAUGAAAUAUUAGUUAAAAGUGAGUUUAACGAAAUAUGAGCUUAAAAGUGAGUUUAAUAAUUUUUUUAAAUUAGUUUAAGUUUGAAUCGUUAAUUUUUUAGAUACAUGUUGUUAUUUCUAUUAAUUACUUGACCCUCCUUAAGAAAAUUUGGUUUCCCUAUCUAUAUGUCUCAUUGUUAUCUUCUAUACCUUCAAGUUAAAGAUGAAAACAGAUAAGAUAAAACCAGAUUUUGUCUUAAAUAGAUCUCAUAUAUAUAGCAUAUAGAAGCAUAGGUCUAACUUGUUUAAAAGUCUGGUUUAGUUUGUUAGUUUGUUUAAAGACCUAUUAUAAUAUAUAUUAUAUAAUGAUAAAAUAUGCUAUCAUGUCUAUAUUUAAAUAGACUUAUCAACGUACUUUUAGUUAGGUCUAUCUAAUUCUAAUAAUUAAAUUAUAUUUUUGUAUANAUUGGCAGAGUGCUGAAAUCCCGUAAGCUUACCCCUAGGUUCAUAGGACCAUACCAAAUCAUUAAAAAUUUUGGACCAGUAGCUUAUCAAAUAGUCUUGCCACCUUUACUGUCAAACCUACAUAAUGUCAUCCAUGUGUCUCAACUCAGAAAAUACAUUAGUGACCCGUCACAUGUUAUUGAACCCGACUCAAUUCAGUUAAAGGAUAAUCUUACUUUCGAGACUUUUCCGUUGAGAAUUUUCGAUCAGAGUGUGAAGACUCUGUGAGGAAAAAAAAUCGCCUUAGUUAAGGUAAUUUGGAGCUAAACGAAUGGAGAAGAUGCUACUUGGGAGGUUGAAAGUAGCAUGAAGGAAUCAUUCCCCCAUAUUUUUUCUUAGAAGGUAUGAUUAAUUUUCGAGGAUGAAAAUUUUAUUAGUUGGGGAGGAUUGUAACACUGUGUUUUUCAGAGCACUUUUAAUUAAGUAAUUAGUAUUUAUAGAUCAAUUAUAAAAAUUAAUCAGUAAUGUUUUACACUAAACCUCAGUUGAGUUUUAGUAAUGUAUUAAUAUUUUCUUGCUUGCCUUAUUUUUUCAAGAUUUGUGGAGAAUAAAAGUUUCCGAGACGAUUUCGGGUCGUUUUAUCGAGUUUUUGCCCAGUUUUUGAGUUCCAUAACUCGGAAUGGAAUUCUAGAUAUUUUUUACUUCGAAAUUCAAGUUUCGAUGUUUCAGGCAAAUGUCCUAAAUCGGGAGAUUGUAUAUUUCCUGACGAAAUUGUCCGAAAAUGUUUGAACAUGAUGUUUAUCGGGAAGUUACAUCAUAUCAGUAAAUUUGGAAGUCAUCAUUUCAUGAGCCACUUACUUGUUACACAAGUAAUGCAAAAGCUUCCAAAAUCCCCUAAAUCACUCAACAAAUCCUCUCACUCCACUACCAUUAGACACAUCACCUAUGCUAGUCUAAAUCUACUUACUUUGCAUUAAAUUUUCUGAUUCUAUGAGGGUGAGUCUCUUCUAUAAAUACCCCAACCCAUUCUCUCAUUUUUACACUAAAUUCUCUAUACAAACUAAUGUAGUCUUUUAUUUUCUCUUCUUCAUCUUCUUCUCAUACUUCAUAGAAAGUUAUGAGCUUUAUUUAUGUUGUUCAUCAAGUAAAGUUUAUAUUUUUUAUUUAAGUUUUUUAUGAUGGCAUAACUAAAGGGGAUGAUAAUAAAAUCAUAUGAACCUUUAUGUAGUUUUUGACUUUUGUAAAUCUUGAAAUUUCUUCAUUUUUCUAAGAUGGAAAAACUAUAUCUUUAGAAAAGGUUAGAUAAGUUACUUGUUUGGAAAUAUUAGAAAUUAUUGUUAGUAUUUGAAUAUGUUUAAAGGUGAUGAUUUUAACAUCAAAUGAACAUUUAAUAUGUUUAGGAAAAAGUUUGUAUUUUAUUCUUGAAAGUUUAUGAUGUUGAUGAGNNNNNNNNNNNNNNNNNNNNNNNNNNNNNNNNNNNNNNNNNNNNNNNNNNNNNNNNNNNNNNNNNNNNNNNNNNNNNNNNNNNNNNNNNNNNNNNNNNNNAAUCCGAACCCAAUCACAUCGGGUUUUUCCCGUUAAAUUCGGGUUCAGUUCGGGCGAGUACCCACGGGUUCGGUUUUUAUUGCCAUCCCUAGGUAGAGAGCAGCUCAGCACAUAUGCUGACUACUCUGUGGUUCAUUAACCAAUACCAUUAAUAGAUUGUCAUGAUGAGAACAUAUUAUAAUAAGGGGAAAAAAGUUUAUGCUAACUCUUAGUCUAUUACUUUUUCACUAUUAUGAAAAGGAUUCCUCUCCAUUAUUAGGAAUGUGAGGGGUUUAAUUUUUCCUAAAUAUUUAUUUUGAAAAAGAGUAAAAAUUUAUACCAUUAAAAUUUUCUUUUUACCACGGGUUCUAAUCUCAACUAUGCACCAUUCCCUACUACACUACCAAUUAUGCUACUGUGCAUAUAUUAGACUCUUAUAUCACAACAAAAUAAUCUAAAACAAGAGGUUUUUUUCAUUCAACAAAUCACGCACAGGUUUACUAAGUUUCACAUAGCAGGUCUUUAUGAACAGUUACAAACAAUCAGCCACAGUCAUAGCAGAGCCUUCAAAUUAUAUGUUACACAUUGCCCAUCCUUAAAUCACAAAGUACACAAGUUUCCCCCAAAUGUGACUUCCUUAUUCUUUCUACUUUCUAUGGAGAUUAGACAUUUUCACAAUAAUAAUGAUCAUUAAGAACUGCUAGAGCCAAGAAGGAUUUCUUUAUCCCUAACUAGCCCCAAAGCUAAACCAACACAUCAUUGUUUGAUUAAUCACUUGCACCCACCAACACCAAACCCAACCUUACCACCAGCAGCAUCAUACACCACCUGGAGUGUCUUCUGUUGCACAUUCCCAAAGAUGGUAGUAUCACUAUCAUCCCCAUUUGGUGCAAAUGCUAGACACACCUGUUUGACACUACCCACAUAUAGCACCCCCGCUGCCGCCAGAUCCACCGUGACACCGCCGCCAAAGACGAAGCUUAUCUUCGGAAUGGCAAACACCUUGUACCCACUAAGAUCAUAACAUGUGUCCAAUAUCGACAAUGCGCUCGCUUUCGGGUACCUUGACAUGCCCUUUUGGAAUUCGGUCCUCAGGGCACUGUAUGCUGUUGGCGGCAACCGCGUGAUGACAGUGCCAGAGUCUAUGAUGGUUCCGCCGGUGGAGAAAGUGGAGGAGGAUAUAGAAAGCUUAGCGCCGCCGACAUAGAUUCCUAACAGGUCAAGAGCAUAGAAGGAGGAGACACCGGAGUUGGUGGAGAGUGGUGUAUACUUGAUGUAGUUGUCAGCGACACGGCCGAAGGUGAGGUAACCGACGUUGCUAGCGGUGGAAGGGAGGCAGUAGGCAAAGAGUUUUUUGUAUUUUGUGGCUGUCUGUUCGACGAAGGAGAU